rnacentral:rRNA from 1 species
UACAGAGGGUGCGAGCGUUGUCCGGAAUCACUGGGCGUAAAGGGCGCGUAGGUGGCGACCCAAGUCAAUGGUGAAAGCUCGAUGCUCAACAUCGAGUCGGCCACUGAUACUGGGUUGCUCGAGCACUGUAGAGGCAGAUGGAAUUCCGGGUGUAGCGGUGGAAUGCGUAGAGAUCCGGAAGAACACCGGUGGCGAAGGCGGCAUCCUGGACCGGCAUUGACGCUGAGGCGCGAAAGCUAGGGGAGCAAACGGG